rnacentral:lncRNA from 1 species
GGAGUAGCCUUGAAUGGUUGGUGUGACUUGCUUUGACCUUUGCUGCUGGGUGCCUUGGCGGAGUGCUGGCGAGCUAUUGAGUCUCAUCAUGAAUGCAGUGACUUAUGAGGACGUGCAUGUGAACUUCACUCAAGAGGAGUGGGCUCUGCUGGAUCCUUCUCAGAAGAAGCUCUACAAAGAUGUCAUGCUGGAGACCUACAGGAACCUCAAUGCUAUAGGAUUUAAUUGGGACGACAAAAAUAUUCAAGAACAUUGUCCAAGUUCUAGAAGACACAGAAGUCAUGCUCAAAGGCAUGAAAGGAUUCAUACAGAAAUGAACCCCCUUGGAAUUAUUCAAUUUGUUGAAGCCUUUGCUCAACAUCGUCUCCAACUUCGUAAAAGAGCACAAACUGGAAAGAAACUCUAUGAAUGGAAGCAAUGUGGUAAAGCCUUUGAAGAUCACAGUCAUCUUAAAAGCUAUGAAGGAAUUCAUACGGGA